CCCAAGCCUGAUGAACACUGGUCUGUGAUUGCUCCAGACCCCAAGGCAAGUCCCAAGUCCUGCAAUUUUGCUGAGAGGAAGUGGCCACUAAACCAACUCCCUGGUGGGGAGUCUUCCUUCCUCCACACCCUCCUCAGAAGUGGCCAUGGGAAUCCUCGACAAGGAUGUCCCAGCAGUUGGUCCCGGAGUUUGGCUCCUGUUCCCAGCUCUAGGCCCCCUAGGGAUUGGCAGAUAUCUUCAGGAUUCUGCCUGUCUCAGCCUGUGAUGUCUUCCUUGCCGGGCCUCCCUUUCAGGGAAAGGAGAAUUGCUUAAGACUUAAAAACUUGCUCAGCAGCGUCAAGUCCACUUGCCUAGUAAGAAAGGGCAAAUCUUCACAAACAUAAGGCCAUUUGACCUGAAGAGUCCCAUCCCACAGUAUUGUCCGGGGCAGGGGACAGGGAUGCUGACUGCUGGCCUCGAUCCUGCUGCUGCUGCUGUCUUAUUCUCCAGACCCCUCGUUCUCAGCUGGACCGGCUGUCCUCCCUGAACCCCGUGGCCUCCCCGCCUGGUGAGCAGGUCUGCCUGGUUGUGGUUCCUCCUGGGACUCCCACUGCCACCAACUGGGCCACAUCCUGCCGAGUCCCUAAGGAGGGCCCCAUUCACAGAGAAGGGCUUACUCUGUACUUGGGCAAAAUAGGUUUGACAAUCAUAAAAAACCUAGAAGUGGGCAAGGCAACCUUACCCCACCCCCUGAGGACUGGGAUAAUGGUUGAAGUACAAUAACUAGUCCAUCAUGGACCACAACUAAUCACACUAAGGGACCAGUGUCUCAGGCUCCCUUGAAAGGCAAAGCACUAACCCUUUAGUUGCUGGAUCUGAGAAGGCCCAGGAGAGGGGCCUGAGCUGCAGGGGGCGUGGCCUUCAGGGGCUCCUGACAGCAGGUGUUUAGCAGCUGGUACGGAGGCAUUUCAAUACCAGUAGGUAGGGCCAUCGUGGUGCCUUCCAGCGAUGUGCAUUGUUUACUCUACCAAUGACUUCCGUGAAGUGGCCAGCGACAGCAGUCACUGGCAGGAUUAUACAGAACUGGAGUGGGUUCAAUGACUGAAAAGACAGCUUGUCUGCUAGUUGCCUAAAAUAACAUUACUAAUGGGUAUCAGCAAACUAUGCAUGAUCAAAAUGGGGAGAGGGACAAUCAGCCCCCAGCAGCAUUUCCCUGUAACCUGGGGUUUGAGAAGCACUGGAGGCUGUGGGUACUGGUUUCUGUCCUCCAACUCUGUGGUGC